rnacentral:rRNA from 1 species
AGUGAACGCUGGCGGUAGGCCUAACACAUGCAAGUCGAACGGCAGCACAGAGGAGCUUGCUCCUGGGGUGGCGAGUGGCGGACGGGUGAGGAAUACAUCGGAAUCUACUCUGUAGUGGGGGAUAACUAGUCGAAAGAUUAGCUAAUACCGCAUACGACCUGAGGGUGAAAGUGGGGGACCGCAAGGCCUCAUGCUAUAGGAGCGGCCGAUGUCUGAUUAGCUAGUUGGUGAGGUAAAGGCUCACCAAGCCGACGAUCUGUAGCUGGUCUGAGAGGACGACCAGCCACACUGGGACUGGGACACGGCCCAGACUCCUACGGGAGGCAGCAGUGGGGAAUUUUGGACAAUGGGCGCAAGCCUGAUCCAGCCAUUCCGCGUGCAGGACGAAGGCCUUCGGGUUGUAAACUGCUUUUGUACGGAACGAAAAGGCUCUGGUUAAUACCUGGGGCUCAUGACGGUACCGUAAGAAUAAGCACCGGCUAACUACGUGCCAGCCGCCGCAGUAA